rnacentral:rRNA from 1 species
UACGGAGGAUGCGAGCGUUAUCCGGAUUUAUUGGGUUUAAAGGGUGCGCAGGCGGUCUGUUAAGUCAGCGGUCAAAGCCCGGGGCUCAACCCCGGGACUGCAUUUGGAACUGUGCUGCUAGAGUGUCGGAGAGGCAGGCGGAAUUCCUAGUGUAGCGGUGAAAUGCGUAGAUAUAUGGAAGAACACCAGUGGCGAAGGCGGCCGCCUGGCCUGUUACUGACGCUGAGGCACGAAAGCGUGGGGAGCAAAUAGG